rnacentral:lncRNA from 1 species
AAAUGUAAUGCUUUAGAGAUUAAUUCAUUUUCCUUGUAAAGCAAUACAAUUAAAAGAUGUUAACUCUCUCUCUCUCUCUCUCUCUCUCUCUCUCUCUCUCUCUCUCUCUCUCUCUUCGUUUUCCCUCUCAUCUUCAUAGCCUUCAUCACUUUCGCCUAUUCAUUCUUCUCAAGAGCUUUAAUAUCUAGUUAUCAACUCAUUAAUAUAAAUAAAACAAAGUCAAUGGUAUAAAUAUACAAUAUAAUAUAUAUUAUAUAUUGUGAUCAAUUUAAUCAUAAUCAUCAAGCAAUCAAAGCCAAUCAACAAAUUGGACUGACUUUUGUAAUGUCAUCCUACAAUGAAAUCAACAGGAUGUGAGUUCGCAAAAUGAUCAAACGCAAUAGUUAGUAUAUAUACCACGAACAUAUGAAGAUGUUACUUCCCUUUUGAUGUAAGUCUGAUGGCUCUCAAUAUAUAGUGGCUUGUCCGCAGAACGUGAAUUCAUAUUUGAUCAAAGAAGGUUGUAGUAGUAUUUUAAGUAGCAAUCAAAAUCUACUCUUAAGAUUGUAGGAAAUAUAGGUGAUCUGGAUGCUUACUUCUUCUACAAUAAAUCACAUAAGAUAAAUAUUAGUAAAUAUCAUUUCACAUAAAAUAACAAAAUAAAUAAAAAUAAUCUAAUAACAACAAAAAACUUAUCUUUUAUAAGGUAAAAAUGCUCUUGGUCGAUGCUUGAUUAGAACAAGAUUUUAGGUUGAGGCGUGUAAGUUCAUUGUCCUUAAGAGUAGAUUUCGGCCCUCUAAGACAAUGUCUUGGUGUAAUAGGUUAUGGCACCCUACCAUCGAGGAUACAACAACCUAUGAUCCUCGUAAGUGUACAUUCGCAAUACUUGAAUCUAUGAACAACUCGAUUUUUCUUUGGCAUAUGAGAAGUGAAAUUAUAGUAGCAUUUGAGAUAAUAGAAUAAAUCAAGAGAGGAGAGGAAGGUGGGAUUCCUUUCAAUUAGGUGAGGUUUGUAGGAAAGAAAAUAUUUGAAGUCCAAUAACAAAGGAAUAGUCUAGGUAAAGAUCAACAUGAUCCUCACGGCUUGAAGAGUUGUUUUUAUAUAGAACAUGAGAAAGGUAAACAUGAUUAAGCAUGGUCUAAAAACGUUAGACUAUAUAAUUGCUCAAUUAAUGGGUUAAUCAAGAUGAAAUAUCAAAGAGAAACUGUAAUUUAUAGCCUCAAUAUUAUAACCCCUUUAAUGCAUCAGUUUUUGGUUUGCAAACAAAACUGAAAUUGAGAUUAAAAGAAAUCAUUAAGAAUGAUAUUAACAUGAUCAAUGAGGAGUUGUAUUUUGAAAUACCCAAUCAAAAAUUCCAACAAGACCAGCAUGAUUCAUAUUAUUCUUGGCUUCGGUAACUCAAACUGCUAGGAGGUGCUUCCAUGUCCCUUUUCGUAAUGAGACUUCUAUAGGUACUUGGAACAUCGAUGACCUGUUUAGCUUUGUAGGAACUCAUUGUCACUUCGUGCAACUGUCUUUCCAAAGCUAUGGUUGAAUGCUUCAGUACUCAUCUCUCUCUGUAUAGUCAUUCAAGUAUAAAAUUGGUCCUUCUGGCGCAUCUUUUUAAGGGAAUGCCAUGUUAUUCCUCUAUUCCUCUCACUUUGGCUUCUCUUUUUAUUUUUAUUCAGGUCUUUGGCCCCCUAUUAUGGCUCGGGUUGAAAUCAUGACUUCUCGAUGCAGCAGCGGUGCAGUGGUGGUCGGCAGCAGUGCGAGUGCUUAUGGCUGUUGCUGUCUUGGCAGCGUGCGUUAUAGCCAUCAUGCAUGAUUCUUUUUGUUCUCUUCUCCGAUCAUCAUUAUAGUACGUAGAAAACAAUUCCAGUGAUAAACAUUUGCCCCCAGUACACGCCUUGCGUGCCGAUCAAGUUCGAUCGCGUUAGCCUAAGACGAAGUCUGUAAAGCUGGUUGGUGCAGCACUGAACUCUGAUUCUUGCUCUUGAGAGAAGCGCGAGUGUGGCCAUUAGUCGUUAGCGAACGUUCCGCUUAUUACUUCGCAAUGCCUUUCCUUCAUUUUCAACUCUUCCUGCUAAUGCAAAAUUUUCUAUACAUUGGUCUUAAUUAGAUCAUGCCCCCCACCUUGAUUGUUGCAUAGCCAUUGAAUGCCUAUUCGAAGUCUUGGAAUCAUGCCCCCAUCGUAGCUUGAACAACAUCUAUGGGGCAGCCAUUGAAUAUGGAAGCUUGUACGCUGCCAAAGUUGGUUGGCAGCUACCUCAAGACACCAAUAUACUACCAUAUAUCUGUUAGGAAUGUCGGUACUACAAGAUAGAGAAUGCACAAAGUAAAGUAGAAAAUGGACACCAAGAAUUUACGUGGUUCGGCAAUUUAAGUUCAUGUCCACAGAACAACGAUCAAUCUUCAUUAUAUGAAAAUGAUGAGUACAACAAUAGUAGUCUUACCAAGCCAAAGACAAGGCUUGAUGGAUACAAGAAAGUAUAACACACACUUUCUAUUACUCUAAAUUUCACUCAUACAAUGUGUAGUGGAACACUCUCACUCUCACUCUUGGAGUGGAACUCUAGCUUUGGACUUGAUCUUUCUUGAUUGGUUACAUCACUACAACAUCUGUAACAUCCCACAUCACCCAUAAAUGUAUAUUCUUUAUUCUUUUAUAUUUAUAAGUCUUAGUUAUCCUUUAUUUUCAGCAAUUGCACUCAAUAAAUGGCUUUCGUCAUCCUUGGGUGUCAGCCAGCACGUGCCUUUCUUGGUAUUCAGGGAAUAUCGGGAUCGGGGCGUGUCAGAUUGGUUCAGAGCCAAUUCCUGGCCGGAAGUGUGCCGACGAGAACGUCGGGCCCCUAAUGGGGGUGCAUUGUAACAUCCCACAUCGCCCAGGGGAGCGUUCCUUAAAUGUAUAUUCUUUAUUCUUUUAUAUUUAUAAGUCUUACUUAUCCUUUAUAUUCAGCAAUUGCACUCAAUAAAUGGCUUUCGUCAUCCUCGGAUGUAGGCCAGCACGUGCAUUUCUUGGUAUUCGAGGAAUAUCAGGAUCGGGGCAUGUCAACAUCACACCCAUAUUUAUAGGUAAGGGCUUGGCAUUCUACUAAUUUCUAGUUUCUAGUAUAUUCUACAGACCUCUAGCUUAGAUAAUUCUAGACUAGCCAUCCUACUUUGCAUGCUAGAAUUUUCUAGCAUCCAUCCUUUAUAAUGGGCUGAACCUUUAAUGUCAUUCAUCAUGGGCUGGACCCAUGGUAUACUAACAAUGUCAACUAGUAGAGAUAUUAUAAGAGAAAAAGUAGGAGUGCUUCUCUGUUUGAUGUCUCAGCCCGUGCCCCCAUGGUAUAGCUAGGAUGGAUAAUAUUUCGUUACGCAGCUCAAUUUGAUUUUUUGUUCAAUUCCCACAAACAGUGCUAACUGUUGGAGCGAAAAAAUUCAGAUCUUCCAAUCUUCCAGCAAGUAAAUCUUGUGACCAUGUUGAGAACCCCACAACACCAUGUUUGCUUGCCAUCAAUGAGGGAGGAGAAGGACCUGCGAGAAAACAUUCUGAUGCACAAGUCAAUCUUUGUUUAAAAAUGAUACACUAAUACUUCUUUCUUUUCUUUUUUUUUUCCAAAAACCCUAUGCUGGUGGGAUUAUUAGGCUUUUAUAGGCAUUCAAGUCUUGGGCUCUAAGUCCCACUUUCCUUGUAUUUCUCCAUGUUUCACAUUCCAUGGAAGUGUUCGAUCAUGCUUCUUUAUUCUAUCUCCACUCCCCUAAUUGUAGGAUUCAUGGGAAGUGGACUCAUUACUUGAGCCUUAAUUUUUGCACCCACAGUAUUGUGAAAUGACCGAUGUGAGACCUUUUAUUUUAUUCAACAAUUAAUGAAUCUUUUUGCUCUAUAUUGGCGAUUUGUGACAUGGUUAGAAGAAUUUCACUAUUAUGUCCUUAUUACAUUUAAAUUUAUCUCUUUACUAAGAAUUUGUCUUCAGUAGUUCGGGCUAGUGAGUAGGUCAGAUUUUUAUCCAUGAAUUUCUAAGUAAGAAAAAAAUAGUUUUUUUUUUUCAAUUUAAUCAUAA